rnacentral:rRNA from 1 species
UACGAAGGGGGCUAGCGUUGUUCGGAAUUACUGGGCGUAAAGCGCGCGUAGGCGGUGAUCUUUGUCAGAGGUGAAAGCCCGGGGCUCAACUCCGGAAUUGCCUUUGAAACGGGAUGCUAGAGUCCGAGAGAGGAUGGCGGAAUUCCUAGUGUAGAGGUGAAAUUCGUAGAUAUUAGGAAGAACACCGGUGGCGAAGGCGGCCAUCUGGCUCGGUACUGACGCUCAGGCGCGAAAGCGUGGGGAGCAAACAGGGAUU